GCUGACUGACUGACCCUGGCGGUCACACUUGCCCUCUGGGGUUUUCGAAAACCCUAAAUCAAAGUUGCUUUUCUCUUUGGCAACUCCCAAGGCUACUUCCGCGGCCUCUGGGCUGUGAACAGAUAAGGACGCAAGUUUCCCCGACCAGGCCACUAAGUAUUGAACACCUACUUCGAGUAAUGCUCUCUCUCUGUUAAGCAGUGUGAGUGAUACCUGGAUUAAGGGAAAAAGUGAGCAGAGCCUUGAAGGAUGUCCAGAAUAACUACACUCACAAAUACACUCUGCUGGAGAAGGACCAGCAUUUGCAAAGACACCUGAAGAGUGCAGGCGGUUCUUAGGGGAAGAUGGAUGAUCCUCUGCUGGAGUGAAGGAUAUGGAGGAAAGUUGUCACUAAUUUGAAUUGAAAACAUUAUAAUAGAAGAAAAAUUCCAGGACAAUUUGUCUUUAUAAAUGGAAUUCUUCAUCUUUGUUGCUCAGUGCAAGUCAUUUAGCCACCAGAAGAGCAUUGUCAGGUAAGACUGUUAACUGAGUCCUGGGGAAACUCACUGCUUUUAAUUGGGUUCCUUGGGUUUAUUUAAUAUGACCCAAUUUAGAUGAAAGAACAUGUUCACUACCUGUUUUGUGGAGUAU